rnacentral:sRNA from 1 species
CCCCUCCCCGUCUGUGGAAACAUUGCCUUCCAAGAAACCGGUCCCUGGUGCCGAAAAGGUUACGGACCCUGCUAUAAAGGAUCUGUUUUGGAACACAAAUGGGCAUUUUCAUCUGGCAUCAUCUCAUACUUUGAGCUCUGGCCAAAAAGAUAGGGAACCAGGAACUGGGCCAGUGAAGCUCCCCCCAGCUCCCAGGGAUACCGGAGGCCAGCUUCUGCAGACUCAAAUAAUCAGAACCCAUCACCGAAAUAUUCAAGGAGAAAUUAGAUACCUUUUAUUCUUCUUCAUGAACCCUCUUUUUAUCUUAACGCAAGCUGUUAAGUGCACUAAGAUGCGAUGUGAUUUAGUCCAGCGUGGUAGUGGUCACUGGUUUGCCAAUAAUAAUUCUAAAUUAUUAUGUACCCAUUACCGAAUAAACAGGCUGCAGGCACGGGCCUGACCUCAAGGCACAUCUAGCCAUUUGAGGAGGUCACACAGGCACACUUCAGUAGAACUGGCAGUACAGGCAGGCUCCAUGGCAUGCGGGCAGAGGGAUGUUUAAAGUUUCUCUAAUACUUAUUGAUUCUGUAUUAUGGAUCACCUGAGCUUUUAUAGAAAAUGUGGGACAUAAAGGAGUAUACAGAGGAAUAAGCUGCCUGUAACCCCUGCCCAGGGAGACCACCGUAUGCACUUGUAUGUGGGGCGUUUUCAGUACAGCAGUGGUUCAUUCUUCUAACCAAAAAGAGUAUGCCAGUUUUCUGGACAUCAGCAGUUCCCAAUAACUCCUUUGGCUGAUAAUAGCAAGUUUCUGAGAAAGUGCUUGCGAUAUUUCACAUUCUCGUGGUCUUAUCCUUUUACAGCCUCAAGCAGCCUGCCACCCUGCCAUAUUCCGGGUUGUUGAUGAGAUGUUCAGGUGUGCACUCCUGGAAACCGAUGGGGCCCCGGAAAUCAUAGCCACUAUUCAGGUGUUUACGCAGUGCUUUGUAGAAGCUCUGGAGAAAGAAAGCAAGCAGCUGCGGUUUGCACUCAAGACCUACUUUCCUUACACUUCUCCAUCUCUUGCCAUGGUGCUGCUGCGAGACCCUCAAGAUAUCCCUCGGGGACACUGGCUCCAGACACUGAAGCAUAUUUCUGAACUGCUCAGAGAAGCAGUUGAAGACCAGACUCAUGGGUGAGCAAACACUGAUCACUCCCAAAUCUACUUCACACAUGGUUUCCCUAGGUCCUCAUCUGCCCUUUGAGCAGGGCUGACAGAGGAAGGCAUUACUGGUCUGGGACCAUCACCAAACAGGUAUUGACACAUGCACCUGUAUCAAAACGUUUUCUACGUAACAUCUGGUUUUAGAUUUUGAAAUAUACAGGCAUAACAAUAAAAAGAAGAGGCCCUGGAAAAAGCAGCGCCCACCUGCUGGGAACCCCUCCCUGGCCGCGCAGAAGGGAAAGGGCACUUGUUUGGGUCCUGUGGUCUUCUCUCUACCUCUCUAGGGAAGGAGAUUUGAAACUCCUGCACAGUAGGGUGGAAUGUUAAAUGCUUGCUUUUCCUUCUCUCUAAUAAAUAUCUCUAAAAUGAGAAAA